GAGAAUGUUGACAUGAGUAGCGACAAACAGGGUGAGAAACCCUGUCGCCGAAAGUCCAAGGGUUCCUGCUUAAAGCUAAUCUGAGCAGGGUAAGCCGGCCCCUAAGGCGAGGCCGAAAGGCGUAGUCGAUGGGAACCAGGUUAAUAUUCCUGGGCCAGGAGGAUGUGACGGAUCUCGAAGGUUGUCUGCCCUUAUCGGAUUGGGGUGGGCCGCUCAGAGGUUCCUGGAAAUAGCCCUCCAUCAGACCGUACCCUAAACCGACACAGGUGGACUGGUAGAGUAUACCAAGGCGCUUGAGAGAACCACGUUAAAGGAACUCGGCAAAAUGCCUCCGUAAGUUCGCGAGAAGGAGGCCCCGUCUGUAGGCAACUAUGGGCGGGGGGCGACAAACUAGGGGU
rnacentral:rRNA from 1 species